CUUGCUUGUCUGCCCAUCAGUCUCCCUGGGAAUUUUACCAUAAUAAUCACUGACACUUUCCUGCAAAGACUUAGAAGAACAUGACCAUCAGCACAUGUCUAGAAGGUGGAAGAGUCCACUCAUAGCAGGUGACACCAUGCAGUAAGAAGGGGGCUAAAGACUGAGACUAUUGAUGCUGCUCCUCAUCACCUGAAGAACUACAGAACUUUGAUGCUUGACUGGUACAUCAUGAUGGCAAACGUAGUCAAGAGAACUUCACUUAAAGAAACUCAAGGUUUCUCACUGCCUAUCCUUGCUGAAUAUUCUUCUGUGGCUAUGGCUAAGUACUAUGCUAAGAGCUGGGACUACAAAUGCUGGAAAAGAAACUUCCUGCCCCAAAAGAACUAACAAUCUAAUGGGAGAAGACAAUACACAAAAGGAAGCCAAAUACCCAGAGCAGGAGCAUGAUGGAGAAGGCCAAAGGAAUGUAGCUGGAUGGAAAAUAAAGAGAUGGCUGACCUAAACA
rnacentral:lncRNA from 1 species